rnacentral:rRNA from 1 species
GACGAACGCUGGCGGCGUGCUUAACACAUGCAAGUCGAACGGAAAGGCCCUGCUUGCCGGGUACUCGAGUGGCGAACGGGUGAGUAACACGUGGGUGAUCUGCCCUGCACUUCGGGAUAAGCUUGGGAAACUGGGUCUAAUACCGGAUAGGAGCCAUCUUUAGUGUGGUGGUUGGAAAGUUUUUUCGGUGUAGGAUGAGCUCGCGGCCUAUCAGCUUGUUGGUGGGGUAAUGGCCUACCAAGGCGGCGACGGGUAGCCGGCCUGAGAGGGUGUACGGCCACAUUGGGACUGAGAUACGGCCCAGACUCCUACGGGAGGCAGCAGUGGGGAAUAUUGCACAAUGGGCGCAAGCCUGAUGCAGCGACGCCGCGUGGGGGAUGAAGGCCUUCGGGUUGUAAACUCCGUUCGCUAGGGACGAAGCUUUUUGUGACGGUACCUAGAUAAGAAGCACCGGCUAACUACGUG